rnacentral:hammerhead_ribozyme from 1 species
CUCCAGCUGACACCUCCCAAAUAGGACGAAAUGCGCAUCCUGGAU